GGGUAACGGCUUACCAUGACUAUGAUGUCUAGGGGUUCUGAGAGGAAGGUCCCCCACACUGGAACUGAGACACGGUCCAGACUCCUACGGGAGGCAGCAGUGAGGAAUAUUGGACAAUGGAUGGAAAUCUGAUCCAGCCAUGCCGCGUGCAGGAAGAAUGUCCUAUGGAUUGUAAACUGCUUUUGUAUGGGAGCAAUAAGGUCUUCGUGAAGGCCGAUGAGAGUACCAUACGAAUAAGCACCGGCUAACUCCGUGCCAGCAGCCGCGGUAAUACGGAGGGUGCAAGCGUUAUCCGGAUUUAUUGGGUUUAAAGGGUGCGUAGGCGGUUAUAUAAGUCAGCGGUGAAAUUUUUCGGCUCAACCGGAAACAUGCCGUUGAUACUGUAUAGCUUGAAUAUGGUUGCUGUGAGUGGAAUGUGUAGUGUAGCGGUGAAAUGCUUAGAUAUUACACAGAAUAUCGAUUGCGAAGGCAACUCACAAAGCCAUUAUUGACGCUGAGGCACGAAAGUGUGGGGAUCAAACAGGAUUAGAUACCCUGGUAGUCCACACUGUAAACGAUGAUAACUAGCUGUCGGCGAUAGACCGUCGGUGGCCAAGCGAAAGCGAUAAGUUAUCCACCUGGGGAGUACGACCGCAAGGUUGAAACUCAAAGGAAUUGACGGGGCCCGCACAAGCGGAGGAACAUGUGGUUUAAUUCGAUGAUACGCGAGGAACCUUACCCGGGCUCGAACGGUGCAGUAAUAUGGUAGAGAUAUCAUAGCUAGCAUAGACUGUAUCGAGUGCUGCAUAUGUCGUCAGCUCGUGCCG
rnacentral:rRNA from 1 species